rnacentral:rRNA from 1 species
UACGAAGGGGGGCUAGCGUUGUUCGGAUUUACUGGGCGUAAAGGGCGCGUAGGCGGAUUUUUAAGUCAGGGGGUGAAAUCCCAAGGCUCAACCUUGGAACUGCCUUUGAUACUGGGAAUCUUGAGUCCGGGAGAGGUGAGUGGAACUGCGAGUGUAGAGGUGAAAUUCGUAGAUAUUCGCAAGAACACCAGUGGCGAAGGCGGCUCACUGGCCCGGAACUGACGCUGAGGCGCGAAAGCGUGGGGAGCAAACAGG